rnacentral:rRNA from 1 species
GACGAACGCUGGCGGCGUGCUUAACACAUGCAAGUCGAACGGAAAGGCCCUGCUUUUGUGGGGUGCUCGAGUGGCGAACGGGUGAGUAACACGUGAGUAACCUGCCCUUGACUUUGGGAUAACUUCAGGAAACUGGGGCUAAUACCGGAUAGGAGCUCCUGCUGCAUGGUGGGGGUUGGAAAGUUUCGGCGGUUGGGGAUGGAAUCGCGGCUUAUCAGCUUGAUGGUGGGGUAGUGGCUUACCAAGGCUUUGACGGGUAGCCGGCCUGAGAGGGUGGACGGCCACAUUGGGACUGAGAUACGGCCCAGACUCCUACGGGAGGCAGCAGUGGGGAAUAUUGCACAAUGGGCGGAAGCCUGAUGCAGCAACGCCGCGUGCGGGAUGACGGCCUUCGGGUUGUAAACCGCUUUCGCCUGUGACGAAGCGUGAGUGACGGUAAUGGGUAAAGAAGCACCGGCUAACUACGUG